rnacentral:rRNA from 1 species
AACGAACGCUGGCGGCAUGCCUAACACAUGCAAGUCGAACGAGACCUUCGGGUCUAGUGGCGCACGGGUGCGUAACGCGUGGGAAUCUGCCCUUGGGUUCGGAAUAACAGUUGGAAACGACUGCUAAUACCGGAUGAUGACGUAAGUCCAAAGAUUUAUCGCCCAAGGAUGAGCCCGCGUAGGAUUAGCUAGUUGGUGAGGUAAAGGCUCACCAAGGGCGACGAUCCUUAGCUGGUCUGAGAGGAUGAUCAGCCACACUGGGACUGAGCACGGCCCAGACUCCUACGGGAGGCAGCAGUGGGAAUAUUGGACAAUGGG